AAAUGAAUUGACGGGGGCCCGCACAAGCGGUGGAGCAUGUUGUUUAAUACGUCACUAACCGUAGAACCUUACCAGGUCUUGACAUCUUAGGAACCCGGCGGAAACGUUGGGGUGCCCGCAAGGGAGCCUAAAGACAGGUGUUGCAUGGCUGUCGUCAGCUCGUGUCGUGAGAUGUUGGGUUAAGUCCCGCAACGAGCGCAACCCUCAUCCUGUGUUGCCACCGGGUUAAGCCGGGCACUCUCAGGAAACUGCCCGUGCAAGCGGGAGGAAGGUGGGGAUGACGUCAAGUCAGCAUGGCCCUUACGACCUGGGCUACAAACAUGCUACAAUGGCGCGUACAGAGGGCUGCGAAGCCGCGAGGUGGAGCCAAUCCCAAAAAGCGCGUCUCAGUUCGGAUCGCAGUCUGCAACUCGACUGCGUGAAGUCGGAAUCGCUAGUAACCGCAGGUCAGCUAUACUGCGGUGAAUACGUUCCCGGGCCUUGUACACACCGCCCGU
rnacentral:rRNA from 1 species